AACGAACGCUGGCGGCAGGCUUAACACAUGCAAGUCGAGCGCCCCGCAAGGGGAGCGGCAGACGGGUGAGUAACGCGUGGGAAUCUACCCAUCUCUACGGAAUGACGCAUGGACACGUGUGCUAAUACCGUAUACGUCCUUCGGGAGAAAGAUUUAUCGGAGAUGGAUGAGCCCGCGUUGGAUUAGCUAGUUGGUGGGGUAAAGGCCUACCAAGGCGACGAUCCAUAGCUGGUCAGAGAGGAUGAUCAGCCACACUGGGACUGAGACACGGCCCAGACUCCUACGGGAGGCAGCAGUGGGGAAUAUUGGACAAUGGGCGCAAGCCUGAUCCAGCCAUGCCGCGUGAGUGAUGAAGGCCCUAGGGUUGUAAAGCUCUUUCACCGGUGAAGAUAAUGACGGUAACCGGAGAAGAAGCCCCGGCUAACUUCGUGCCAGCCGCCGCAGUAAUAC
rnacentral:rRNA from 1 species